AUGGCUUGGUCCCCUCUCAUCUUAACACUCCUUAUUCACUAUACAGGAUCCUGGGCCCAAUCUGUGGUGACUCAGCCAUCCAUAUUAUCUGGAAAUUUGAGGCAGAAGAUGACCAUCUCCUGUACUGGAAACAACGACAACAUAGGACACAGUACCCAGGGAAUCUAUUUAGAUUGGUACCAACAACUCCCAGGAAGGGCACCUAAGCUGAUAAUAUAUGAUAUUACCAAUAGAUAUUCUGGGGUCCCUGAUCGCUUCUCUGGCUCCAAAUCUGGCAGCACAGCCUUCCUGAGUAUCACUGGGCUUCAAUCUGAGGAUGAGGCUACAUAUUGCUGCUUUGUUUGGGAUGUUAGUCUCAAUGGUCUCACAAUGUACUAG